UCCUGGGCGAUGGGUAAGGAAACCCGCCAGCCAGACUAACAGCAAAAGGGAGGAGACCACACACGCAGCGGAAGGGGGGGACACAGAGCCCACACCAGGCACCCCAGACGCCGCGGACCUGCACUGCUAAGACGAGUCCCUGACGUUUGGCUUUGAAAACCAGGCAGGCACAACAUCACAAGUUUUUACAGUCCGGGGACUAACACUGGGAACUUUAAAACUUGGCAGGCUGGGCUCUCAGACAGCCGGAGGGCACAGGAAACAGUCCCUGCCCAGACGGAGGCAAAAUCACAAACACCACCCAGGAAGCACCAGAGAGGAGGAGCAGUUGGAAGAGCUGGGGGGAGAAGAAGGGAGGUAAGGGAAGGAAGUUUAUUUACUACACUCAGAAUCUUUAGGAAACUUCUCCAAGAGGCAAAAUAUGACGUCAUACACAUAAAACAUGGGGAGGAGAAGGGAUAAAGGAAAGUGGAUCUAUGACAUGAGUGUGGAAUACAAUGGAAACUUACAAGACCAAGUUCUGUGGUGAAAACUUUCACUUGUGGGGCUCCAGGGGGGCUCAGUCAGGAGAGCACAAGUUGGGGAGAGGCGGAGAGAGUGGG